rnacentral:rRNA from 1 species
UGAGGAAUAUUGGUCAAUGGGCGAGAGCCUGAACCAGCCAAGUAGCGUGCAGGAUGACGGCCCUAUGGGUUGUAAACUGCUUUUAUGCGGGGAUAAAGUGCGCGACGUGUCGUGCAUUGCAGGUACCGCAUGAAUAAGGACCGGCUAAUUCCGUGCCAGCAGCCGCGGUAAUACGGAAGGUCCGGGCGUUAUCCGGAUUUAUUGGGUUUAAAGGGAGCGUAGGCCGCCAGAUAAGCGUGUUGUGAAAUGUACCGGCUCAACCGGUGAAUUGCAGCGCGAACUGUUUGGCUUGAGUGCACGGUAAGCAGGCGGAAUUCAUGGUGUAGCGGUGAAAUGCUUAGAUAUCAUGAAGAACUCCGAUUGCGAAGGCAGCUUACGGGAGCGCAACUGACGCUGAAGCUCGAAGGUGCGGGUAUCGAACAGG